UGAGGUUAGGAUUUACACUACUGACAUUAAGUCUUUCAUUCAAAGUGAAAUUCAAGGCAGAUAAGAACACAUGCAUAUUUAUGACUUUUAUGAUUGCUGUGUGUUAUUUUCUUUGAUUUAAAAUUAUUACUAAAAA